rnacentral:rRNA from 1 species
UGCGUAGGCGGGCUAAUAAGUCAGUGGUGAAAUCUCUCGGCUCUACCGGGAAACUGCCAUUGAUACUGUUAGUCUUGAGUUCGGUUGAGGUAGGCGGAAUGUGUAAUGUAGCGGUGAAAUGCUUAGAUAUUACACAGAACACCAAUUGCGUAGGCAGCUUACUAGACCGACACUGACGCUGAGGCACGAAAGCGUGGGGAGCGAACAGGAUUAGAUACCCUGGUAGUCC